GUCAUCUCAGUCAUGUUGAGACUGGUCUACUACUAUUGUCUUCCAGGUCAUGUGUCUUCUCAGUCAGACUGGUCUACUACUAUUGUCUUCCAGGUCAUGUGACUUCUCAGUCAGACUGGUCUACUACUAUUGUCUUCCAGGUCAUAUGUCUUCUCAGUCAGACUGGUCUACUACUAUUGUCUUCCAGGUCAUGUGUCUUCUCAGUCAG